AGCCUCCACAUUAAGGAAAUGGAAAAAGAAGAGCAAAUUAAACCCCAAGUAAGCAGCAGGAAAAAAAUAAUAAAGUAGAAAUCAGUGAAGUAGAAAAUAGAAAAACAAUAUAAAAAAUCAAUAAAACUAAAAGCCAGUUCUUUGAAAAGAUUGACAAACCUCUCACCGGACUAAUAAGGACAAAAAAGAAAGCAAGCACAAAUGGUCAAUAUUAGGAAGGAGGAUUAUAUCUUUAGAGAAUUUACAGAUAUUAAAAGAAAAAAUGAACAUUAUUGACUUUAUGCCAAUAAAUUCAACACAGAGAUAAAAUUUCUUGCAAGACACAAAUUGAUGAAGCUCACUCAAGAGAUAAAUAAGGGACGCCUAAGGAUGGUUCAGCAGUUGAGCAUCUGCCUUUGGCUCAGUGUGAUCCUGGAGUCCCAGGAUCGAGUCCCAUAUCGGGCUCCCCGCGAGGAGUAUGCUUCUUCCUCUCCCUGUGUCUCUGCCCCUCUCUCUCUGUGUCUCUCAUGAAUGAAUGAAUGAAUGAAUAAAUAAAUAAAAGGUGAAUAGUCAUAUAUCUAUUUUAAAAUUAAAUUUUUAGUUAAAAAUUUUCCCACAAAGAAAACCCCAGAUCCACAUUGCUUCACCAGUGAAUUCUACCAAAUGUUUAAGGAAGAAAUAAUACCAAAUCUCCAGAAACUCUUCCAGAAAAUUGAAAAGUCCGAACUAUUUUUCAACUCAUUCUGUGAAGCCAGCAUUAACCUGAUAUUAAAACCAGACCAAGACAUUUAAAACAAAAGAAGAAUUCAGGCUAACAUCCCUCUUUAACACAGAUGCAAAAAUUCCAAACACAAUUUUAGCAAAUCAAACACAACAAUAUAUAAAAGGGUAGUAUAUCAUGACUAAAUGGAUUUUAUUUUGGGGAUGCAACAUUGUUUUAAUAUUUGAAAACCUUCAAUAUAAAUCACCAUAUAAACAAACUAGAAAAGAAAAACCAUACAAUAAGCUCAACAGACUCAGUAAAAUCAUUUAACAAAACCUAACAUUCAUUCCUGAUUAAAAAAAAAAAAAUUCUCAGCAAACUAGAAGAGGGGAAUUCCUCAGCCUGAUAAAGGGCACCUAUAAAAUCCUACAGCUAGUAUCAUACCUUCAUGGUAAAAGAUAGAAUUCUUUCCAUCUAAGCUCAGAUGUAAGAUAAAAAUGUUUGCUCUUACCAUGUCUAUUCAAAAGUGUACUGGAGGUUUUUUUAUUUAUUUAUUUAUUUAUUUAUUUAUUUAUUUAUUUAUUUAGAUUUAUUUAUUUAUUCAUGAUAAUCAGAGAGGCAGAGACAUAGGCAGAGGGAGAGCAGGCUCCUCACAGGGAGCCUGAUGUGAGACUAAAUCCUGGGGAACUGAAGGCAGACACUCAACCAUUGAGCCACCCAGGUGCCCCUGUACUGGAGAUUUUAACCAGUGCCAUCGGUCAAGGAAAAGAAACAAAAAGCAUCUAGCUUGUAAGCGAAGAAGUAAAACUAUCUUAUUAUUAUUAUUAUUAUUAUUAUUUUAAGUAAAACUGUCUUUAUACACAAAUGACAUGAUUAUUUGUGUGGAAAAUCCAAUGGAACUUACAAAAAGCUACUAGUGAUACAUGAGUUUAGCAAAGUUGUACGACACAAGAUCAAUAUACAAAAGUCAAGUAUUUCUACAUACUGGUAAUGAAUAAUUGGAAAUUAAAAUUAAAAAUCAAUACCAUUUACAAUAGCAUAAGAAAUAUUAAAUACUUAAGGAUAAAUGUGACAGAAGAUGUGAAAGACCUAGACACUGAAAAAGAACAAAACAUUGCAAAGUGAAAUUAAAAAAGACCUAAAUUAAUGGAGAGAUAUACCAUGCUCGAGAGCCAGAGGACGCAAUAUUGUUAAGAUAUCAAUUCUCUCCAUACUGGUCUAUAGAUUUGAUGCAAUCAGAAACAAAAUUUCCCCCUCCCUGCCUUUAUUAGAAGUUGGCAACCUGAUUCUAAAAUUCCCAGGAAAAUACAAAGGACUUACAAAAGCCAAACUUUGAAAAAUAACAAAUUUAGAGAACCAGCACCACCUGAUUUCAAGAUUUAUUACAAAGCUACUAUAUUGGUAGUCAAGAUAUACAAAUAGAUUGAUGGAACAGAAUAAAUCAUUAAGCUCCAAAAUUUAUAGACUUCUUUAAUUGAGUAGUGGGGGGUUUAUAUCGUGAAACUGAGCCCCACCCUAAAUUUGGGUGGUCAUAUAAUGGCGUCAACCUAUAGAAUGAAGAGAAAUAACACUGUGACUUUUGCAAGUUUGUCAGAAAAGAUCAAGAAGCAUCGACCUUGUUCUCUUAGGUUGCUUCCUCUAAGAUCUAGAGAAAGUAAAUCAUCAUGUAAGAAGUUUGGCUAUCUGCGACUGCUAUAUUCUGAAGGCCACAUGUAGGCAAUCCAGUUGAUUAUCCAUUGAGCAUGCAGCCAACAGCCAGCAUCAACUGCCAACCAAGUGAAUGAGCUAUAUUAGACUACACACCUGAUGAAUCUGGUUAUAACUACAAUCCCAAAUGACAUUUGACUGCAAAUGAUGAGAUACUCCAUUUCAUAAAUGCCCAGCUGAACCUCUUGAAUUCUUGACCCACAAACUUAUUAAACAAAAUAAAAUAAAUAUUUUAAGCCACAAAACUUUAGGGUAACAUUAUGAAGCAAUAGUAACAGGGAGCUUUCAGUGAAAUAGCCAUCAAUUAUCCUCAGUAUAUUGAAGUUCUCUUAGAGAUAAAUCUCUUCACUUAGACAUGCUUCCUCGAAGCUUUUUAGGGUUUCACAGUUAAAUAUAAAUAGCUAUCCAAAGAUAAUAAAACAAUAGAAUGAGAAAAACAAACCAGAAAAGAGGACCCCCAAAAUUCAGAGACACUGUAUAAGAAUAAGAAGAGACCUAAUUUAUAAAAAUCUAUAUUUUCAGAGAAAUGAGAAAGCAAUCUGCACACUGGAGAAAAAAUAACAACAGAGUUCUAUGAAAAAGUAACAGGCCACUAUACCAAAGUAUCACAAACUUAGUGGCUUAAAACAACACAAUUGUAUUAUCUUAUAGUUGUAGAAAUUCAAAAUCAAUUAGACUGGGCUAAAGUCAAGGUGUCUACAGAGCUGGUUUCCUCUGAAGGUUGUGCAGGGAGACUUCUUUCCUUGUCUUUUUCACCUUCUAGAGGCCACCUGCAUUAUUUGAAUCAUCCAUCCUGAAGUCGAAGACAGCUCACUGACUUGGCUGGGAGAGGACAUUGGCUCUUUGCUAGGUUCUCAGAUGGACUGUCAACUGGACUUCUUUGAUCGCUCCAACCUCUAUCUAUCAUUAUACUUCUAUCAUUAUACGUCUUACAACUGACUCGGAUCCCCUACCACCACCACCCCAUAAAGACCCUUGUGAUUAUAUCUUUGGGCCCACUCAGAUAACCCAGGACAGUAUUCCCAUCUCAAGAGGGCUUAACUUGAUCACAUCAGCAAAAUUCCCUUUAUUGUGUAAGAUAACAUAUUCACAGGUUCUGGGGAUUAGGAUGUGGAUAUCUUUGGAUGUGGAGACAAUAUAGGAAUCCACCUAAAACUGAAAAUAAUUGUUGAAUUUGGGAAUAGAGGAUAGGAAAGGGAGGAGAUAACUAUUACAAGUUUUAUGGUACUCUUUGAUUUUAAAACUAUGAGUAAAAAAAAACUAUGCGUAUGUUUUACUUUGUAUAAAUACAUGUUAAUUUAAUUAACCUGCAUGAAUAAGAUUUAAUUUAAAAACAUUAAUGUGCUUAAUUAACAUGGAAUGUAUCUAAUGUAACAUUAGAUGUAUAUAUACCAAAAUAUUAACUAUGAUUUUCUUUACAAGGAUGUGAUAUAUAUUUGGGGGCACCUGGGUGGCUUAGUCAGUUAAAGCUUCAACUUUUGGUUUCAGCUCAUGUCAUGAUCUCAGCCUCAUGAAAUCGAGCCCCACAUUGGGCUCUGUGCUAAGCAUGGAGCCUGCUUAAGAUUCUCAAUCUCUCCCCCUCUCCUGCUGCUCCCCACCCCCACUGCUUGAGCAUGUGCUCUCUCUCUCUCUCUCUCUCUAAAAAAAAAAAAAAAAAGAGGUUGUGGUAUAUUUUUUCUUAAUUUUUACCUUCAUUUUUUAAAAGAUUUUAUUUAUUUUUUCAGGAGAGACACAGAAAGAGAGGCAGAGACAUAGGCAGAGAGAGAAUCAGGCGCCCUGUGGGGAGCCCAACGUGGGACUUGAUCCCAGGACUUUGGGAUCAUGACCUGAGCCAAAGGCAGACACACUCAACCACUUAGCCACCCAGGCGCCUAUUACCUUCAUUACUAUCCAAAAUUCAUAAUAAACACACAAUCAUUUUUAAAGGGAAAAAUUAUUUUUUAAAUAUAGAAUUUUUAACUUUUCAAAAUGAAUUCAGUUCAUAACAUGAAUGAAUGGCCAUGUGUCUUUUUUUUUAAUUUUUAUUUAUUUAUGAUAGUCACAGAGAGAGAGAGAGAGAGGCAGAGACACAGGCAGAGGGAGAAGCAGGCUCCAUGCACCGGGAGCCCGACGUGGGAGCCCGACGUGGGAUUCGAUCCUGGGUCUCCAGAAUCGCGCCCUGGGCCAAAGGCAGGCGCUAAACCGCUGCGCCACCCAGGGGUCCCCUUUUUUUAAAUUAUUUAUUCAUGAGAGACACACAGAGAGAGGCAGAGACAUAGGCAGAGGGAGAAGCAGGUUCUCUGC
rnacentral:lncRNA from 1 species